ACACGGUCAGGCACCGUUUGCCUGUUCCCGACACAAUAUCUGUUGCAUUCUUGCCAGAUCAUCCUACUUUGACGCAGAAAUCGCAACAGACAGGCUUACACUAUUUCUUCACAGGGUUAUAUCCAUGAGAUACGAGUUUAUAACCGUGACAACACCUCUGACAUUGAUGCCAUGUGCUGGCGGUCAAUGUCGAAGAAUCGGAGCCCGCAUACCCUCCAUUUGAGGAUUGACACAAGCGCCGAGAAGAUCGUUCACAGCUAUUGUUCUUGUGAAGCUGGACUUGGUGAAAGAUGUUCCCACAUCAUUGGCCUUGUGAAGACACUUCAGGGAUCAAGCCUCACAAUUUCACGCACAUUCAUGAAAAACAGAGUUGCACCAGCCUCCACGCAGAUUCACAGGGGCAACAAGAUCAUCCCAGUGCCUAUCAACCAAGUGAUUGUGGCUCAACCUCUUGGCCAGUCUAGAAAUAGGAAGCCAAUCAUUUGUCAAGUUCAAUGACACCAGACUUCCACAUAUUACCCCACUGCAGUAUGUGCUACAGACAGAUGCACCCCGGUGACUAAACACUCUGCUCGGAGACGUCUAGCUUGGGAUCAGUCUUGUCAUAUCAGACUGAAAAUCACGUGCAGUAUCAACUACGUUCAUCAAGUUUCCGAAAGUGUCACCUGUACAACUCGCUCCUGGGUAUGAAGAUCUUAAUGCCCAGUAUCAACUUACAGAUCCUGGAAAAGAUCUAAGAUCUAAUCGUCUUACAGCUUCCAACUUUGGAAAGGUUAUGAACAGAAAGAAGAAACCUACACUAUCUUUUCUCAACAGUCUAUUUCCCAAGACUUCUAUGCAUUCAGUAUCUCUUUCCUAUGGGAAGAACAUUGAAGUACAGGCCAAGAAAAGAUAUUUAGAACACAAAAUCUCAAACCAUCUACAUGAGAGUGGACUAGUAAUCAACAAUAAUUUCAGUUUCCUUGGAGCCACUCCUGAUGGCAAGAUAUGUUGUGAAAAGGAGAACAGAAUUAUUGAAAUUAAAUGCCCGAACUCAGCUCGACACUUUACACUUGAAGAAGCAUAGGAAAAGAUAACAAAUUUAUUUUUGCAGGAGGAAAUUGCCAUUCUCAAACUAUCCAAAAGACAUGCUCAUUAUGCCCAAUUUCAGGCACAGUUAAUGAUAACCGGGGCUGAAUUCUAUGAAUAUGUGGUUUACCCCCAAAAAGAGAGCGUACAUUGAGCGUAUUUUCCCAGACAUUGAAUACAUGACAUGUAUGCUAGAAAAGUAUUCUUUAAAGAACAUGCAAAGCCAUUUCUUGACAUGUAAAUUGUACAAUAAUUGAUGGUGUUAACUAACAAGUGCUUUUGGAUAUUCGUUGUUCACUAUCCUAUUCCAGGAAAAACAAUGUCUCCAUCUUGUUAUGAAAGAUUUUGAAAUUAGCUAUAUAACUUCAAAAUGUUUUAAAUUGAUUAUAAUGGCCUAAUGGUUUUGAUUUGCUAAUACUAUCAGCUUCAACUGAAAAAUAUCCAAUUAAGAUUUUGCCUUAAGUGCCAUAAUUGACUGUCCCCAACUGAGCUUUUCCAUGUUAUACUUACAUGAUUCACCAGACUGUGUACCUUGAUUCUCUUCAACAGACACUUUCUGGGGGAUAUUUCUCUGUUUGUUUCAAACAGUUGUCUGAAAUAACAUAUUUUUUAGAAAAAUAGUUAUUUGUAGUAAAUAUGUGGCAAUAUUGUAAUAUCAUAUUUUUUGUAAAUCUAAAUUAGGUAAAUUUAUGAGUAAGUAAUUUACCCUUAUAGCCUGUUGUCACUUUACUUUGAUAUAAUUUUCUUAUAUAUUCUUUAUAUUGAUAUAUUUUCUAUAUAUUCAUCUCCAUGUAUAGAUCUCAUUUAUUUUUGACAGAUUAUUCAUCUUACACAAUGGUUUAAUCUUCUUGUUUUGUUAUUUUAGAUUUGUUAGUUUUAUUUACAGGUAUAUUUUGUUAUCGCACUUGUUUCUGUAUAAUUUGUUACAGAUCAAUCGUUUUUUACAUGCAUCAAAUUAUUUAAUAAUUUAUCAUAAUUACACAACUUUGAGGUCAACCAUUUCAGGUGUACUUAUAAUUAAGUUUUGUGUUGUUAUUUUUAUGCUUCAUAUUUAUAUGUUGUUAUCGCUCUUGUUUUAUAAAAACAUGGUUAUACGUUUUGGGGAUGCAUGAAAUAAGUUGAUAAUUUUUCUUCAUUGUCCAAAUUUUGGGAUUAAAAAAAGUCAUCAUACACUGACAAGUGAGGACAAAAUAAAAAUAGAUGA
rnacentral:lncRNA from 1 species